AUUGAACGCUGGCGGCAGGCUUAACACGCAAGUCGAGCGGGGGAAGGUAGCUUGCUACUGGACCUAGCGGCGGACGGGUGAGUAAUGCUUAGGAAUCUGCCUAUUAGUGGGGGACAACAUCUCGAAAGGGAUGCUAAUACCGCAUACGUCCUACGGGAGAAAGCAGGGGAUCUUCGGACCUUGCGCUAAUAGAUGAGCCUAAGUCGGAUUAGCUAGUUGGUGGGGUAAAGGCCUACCAAGGCGACGAUCUGUAGCGGGUCUGAGAGGAUAAUCCGCCACACUGGGACGGAGACACGGCCCAGACUCCUACGGGAGGCAGCAGUGGGGAAUAUUGGACAAUGGGGGGAACCCUGAUCCAGCCAUGCCGCGUGUGUGAAGAAGGCCUUAUGGUUGUAAAGCACUUUAAGCGAGGAGGAGGCUACUUUAGUUAAUACCUAGAGAUAGUGGACGUUACUCGCAGAAUAAGCACCGGCUAACUCUGUGCCAGCAGCCGCCGUAA
rnacentral:rRNA from 1 species